UUUCCACCACGCUCGCCUCCACCUUGUCGCCAAAGUGCAGCGGGAAAUGGUUCUCGUCUGGUGGAAGAACAGCGGAGAUCUUGGGCCACAGCGGCGGCGUCAUUGAGAAGAGGAUCUGGGGAGCAGAAUUUCAAGCAGAGUGAAAAGUCUGAGCAAACAUGAUACGGACCCUUCGGAAAUGGAAAGCCGCACGACGCCAUUAUCAAAUGUCAAGCACAAUGAAAUUCAAAUAUCCUGGCUGUAGACUGUUCCUCUCUGCAUGACGUGAGGAGGGUUUCCCAGAUUCGCUCAGUAUUCUGAAACGGCACACACAGGCAAGCGGAUGAUUGACACCUCCUGAUCCACAUGCAAAUUUGCUCUCACGCUCUACAGAGGAGCCACUUGACGUCGAUGCCAGGUUGUCUUGUCGCCGCUGCGGCUUGUGUGUGUAGUCGUUCGGCCCUCCCCUGUCAAGACGCUUUAUGCAAGAUUAGGGCCGGGUAAAUGAAAGCCGACCUGUCUCCACAAGGCUUUUCCGCCAGGAGCAUCCCAUGCCGGCGCACAAUUCAUCUGUAAAUAUGCUAUCAAGGAGAAACCUUCAAGACUACCUUGCCAAGGAGAAACGAUUCCUCCACAAAAGUAUGACCCAGGAAGUGGAAAUGAAAGUGGGGAAGGUCGUUAUUGUGGAACACAAACAGGUGUGCACAACUGAAAGAAAACAAAAUGGAGCUUUCUACAACUGAGAGCAACAUUGACCAAUAUAUCGAGAGAAAGGAUGUGUGGAAAGUUCUGCUUUUGGGUGCUAAGGAAUGAAAGUGAAAGUGGAUGGACGUAAAGCAGAGCUGAGUUUUGUAACCCGGAUUUCCAUGUAAACUUCAGAUGAGUCGCGACUGGCACCUUCGCACUCAAUCGGGAAAAAAAGCGUGGGAUGUGACAAAUUGUGUAACAGGAUUUUGAUCAUGCAGAGCAUUUUUCAUCACCCAAGAAGUGUAAUGAUGAUGACGCACUAGCCAUGCAAGGAUUUCAGCUUCUUUUGAUUAGGCCCGUUUUUGCCUGUGAGGGCUUCACACGUUCCUGAUCCAGGUGGACUUCACGCCGUGCCACCUGCAGCCGGCUAAUGGUCAUUCCUGGCUCUUUUCCAAACCUCGUUAAAGCGGCAUGUCGAGGGGCCCUGACCCGAUCAUCCGCCUCGCCGGUUCCGGAAGAAUCCUUUUCCGCCCCCCCCACGGCGAGCACAGCGCCGCACCAUCUCCAGCCUCCGACUAACAGCCAAGCGCCACAAGCAGUUAGCAUUGAUGGAACUGCCAGAGCUGUGAGUCAAGGAUGACAUCCCGAUGGUGUUGUAUCUAUGCAAAAGCAGUGCGGUCCGCCAGAAGAGAAUCCCGGGGACAUGUCAUCUCUCGUCAAAUCUCCCUCUCUCCAAGAAAGCGUCAAAUCUGGCCCGCGCUGUGGACACUCCCUUGCAUUUAAUAUCGCCGUCAAGAAAAGUUCGAAGUCGUGACUGGGCGCCCCACCCCACUCCCCCUCUCACUGACUCAAACUGCUUUCGCAGCGGGUUGGCCCGCGCCGUAAGUGACACUUUGGCGCAUCGCGAGUCUUGCUGGCUCACUGAGAGCGUCAGCCGUUAUUACCCCAACAAAUUAGUGACGGAAAAAUUGGCCGUGUGUGCAGGGAGAUUGUGAAUGUAUGCAUGUGGAAUUCCACCUUUUGCCCCCCCCCCCUUUCCCUCCGACUCUCUUCCAGAUGGACUCCCAAGCUCGUGAGUCACACGAAUAAAUAGCGUGAGGUGUUUUGCUGACUCACAAUGAA